UAUACGCUUGCGCAUUAAUGGUUGAACUCCCGUAUCGCGAUACGUAUUACCUAAGGUUACGGGCUGGUACGUUAGGUUCAUACGCAUCCCUAUCGAGCCGAAAGUCACCGAAUGCACACGAGGAUCUUGCCCGAUUACCUACCAAAUGAACAUUUCAUCAGCGUACUAUCCGUUUAUUAGGCAAUCCAAACCACGUGACCUCUGGUUGGCACACAAACUAACAAAGAGGUUAUGUUUGCAUCUAUUUUUCAAUGAUUUUUCAUUGUUUAUCGUCGUAUUUUGGAUUCAUUUGGAUUUCGUUUCCUGUUUUUGUGAACUUUAUAAACUUUACCACAAUGCAAACUGAUUAUUUAAGGAAAUUAUUAUUGGAAACUCCAGAUGUUGCGAGAAAGGUAGGCGAAACAAUUUUUUUUACUGUUCAUUUUGCCCCGAUAUUUAUCAAUAAUGAUGAAUUUUGCAAGCAAUAACAUUAUUUCUUUUAUUGUUCUGGAUAUUUAUUGAAGCUGAAAAUAAUUGGGGAUUUAGAUCCAUACGCAAUUCAGUCAGAAUUGGAUUUUACAGUAAAGUGCAGUCCAUCAAGUUACUAUUAUAGAUAUUUAUACAUAUCUGGUGGAGUCUGAUAUGUCACAGUUGCUACUCUAAGCAGCAGAUGAAAGCAUACAAAAGCCUUCAGGCACAUAAAUAUUUUACAGCUGGAUUUGUUUUGAAUGGAGUAAAAAUUGUUAAUGAUUUCCAUAUUAUUGUCGGAAAGGUGAAGCAUUUCCAAAAAUCUAAUGCUAAACGACUAAAUGCUUGGGUGGGGUGAUAGCCAGUUCUGAUGACAUAGCAAAUUCACAUUGUAUGCGUAUGGCCGGUAAUAGUGAAGUCUGCAGCCAUAUUGCAGCAAUCCUAUGUUUAGCUUAGUAUGCUCAGGGCAAGACAGACGAAGAAGAACCCAAUGUAUGUACAUAUGUUACAGCUACAUGGUUUGGAGAUAGCAACAUAUGCAUUCUCUGAUGAAAAACUAAUGAGUUUUGAAACUGUUCGGUCAGAGUGCUUGUUGCGCUCACUAAACGAAUUGAAAUAUAAGAUGGCUUUGGCAUUGUGUUGCAGCCAUAUGAAAAUGGUUAUUCAUUUUUAAUUAUAAUGUACUUCUUCAUCAUGAGUAAUUAUGUAUUGGUCUUUUAAAUGUGUAUUUAUUUUUGUAAUUAGUAUCAACUUGUAAUGAUAAUAUACAUUUAUCGUUUAAGGUAUGACUAUGUUUUGACUCUAAAAUAAAUGUUUUAAAAAUCGAA